UGCGCAGGUGGGCUUGUAAGUCAGUGGUGAAAUACUGCCGCUUAACGGUAGAACUGCCAUUGAUACUGCGAGUCUUGAGUAUGGUUGAGGUAGGCGGAAUGUGUUGUGUAGCGGUGAAAUGCAUAGAUAUGACACAGAACGCCGAUUGCGAAGGCAGCUUACUAAGCCAUUACUGACGCUGAGGCACGAAAGCGUGGGGAGCGAACAGGAUUAGAUACCCUGGUAGUC
rnacentral:rRNA from 1 species